AUUAGUAUUAUUGCAAUAGUUUGAGUAAGGGAGGCAAAAUGGUGCUAAAAAAGCUUGCAUUUGGUUGCCAAAUUAUGUUGACCAUUUUGCUUCUAUUGGUAUCUUCGAUCGCAUCAAGGGGACUUACGAAUGCGAAUCCACGUGAAACAUAUAAUAAAGUUCGGAAGUUGAACAAUGAUGAUCCUCACGAUGGUAACUACAUACACUAAGUGGGAUGAUUACGUAAUAAACAAUAUCUAUCAUGGUUAUCUAUUUUCAUUUCUCGUGUAUUGUUUUUCAGUGUAGUGUGGUGUAGAAUGUUUAUCAAAUAACGGUUACACUUCUCUUUGGUCUACUAAAGUGAAGCUAUUUUCUUAUUCGGAGGCCUCGUUCAUACCUCUUAUUAAUUGGAAGGCUUUAUUGUAAUCUCAUGAACUCAAUAAAAACAUCUUAUUU